rnacentral:rRNA from 1 species
AUGCCUAGGAAAUUGCCCUGAUGUGGGGGAUAACCAUUGGAAACGAUGGCUAAUACCGCAUAAUGCCUACGGGCCAAAGAGGGGGACCUUCGGGCCUCUCGCGUCAGGAUAUGCCUAGGUGGGAUUAGCUAGUUGGUGAGGUAAUGGCUCACCAAGGCGACGAUCCCUAGCUGGUCUGAGAGGAUGAUCAGCCACACUGGAACUGAGACACGGUCAAAACCUAUACGGGAGGCAGCAGUGGGGAAUAUUGCACAAUGGGCGCAAGCCUGAUGCAGCCAUGCCGCGUGUGUGAAGAAGGCCUUCGGGUUGUAAAGCACUUUCAGUCGUGAGGAAGGUGGUGUAGUUAAUAGCUGUAUUAUUUGACGUUAGCGACAGAAGAAGCACCGGCUAUCUCCGUGCCAGCAGCCGCGGUAAUACGGAGGGUGCGAGCGUUAAUCGGAAUUACUGGGCGUAAAGCGCAUGCAGGUGGUUUGUUAAGUCAGAUGUGAAAGCCCGGGGCUCAACCUCGGAAUAGCAUUUGAAACUGGCAGACUAGAGUACUGUAGAGGGGGGUAGAAUUUCAGGUGUAGCGGUGAAAUGCGUAGAGAUCUGAAGGAAUACCGGUGGCGAAGGCGGCCCCCUGGACAGAUACUGACACUCAGAUGCGAAAGCGUGGGGAGCAAACAGGAUUAGAUACCCUGGUAGUCCACGCCGUAAACGAUGUCUACUUGGAGGUUGUGGCCUUGAGCCGUGGCUUUCGGAGCUAACGCGUUAAGUAGACCGCCUGGGGAGUACGGUCGCAAGAUUAAAACUCAAAUGAAUUGACGGGGGCCCGCACAAGCGGUGGAGCAUGUGGUUUAAUUCGAUGCAACGCGAAGAACCUUACCUACUCUUGACAUCCAGAGAACUUUCCAGAGAUGGAUUGGUGCCUUCGGGAACUCUGAGACAGGUGCUGCAUGGCUGUCGUCAGCUCGUGUUGUGAAAUGUUGGGUUAAGUCCCGCAACGAGCGCAACCCUUAUCCUUGUUUGCCAGCGAGUAAUGUCGGGAACUCCAGGGAGACUGCCGGUGAUAAACCGGAGGAAGGUGGGGACGACGUCAAGUCAUCAUGGCCCUUACGAGUAGGGCUACACACGUGCUACAAUGGCGCAUACAGAGGGCAGCAAGCUAGCGAUAGUGAGCGAAUCCCAAAAAGUGCGUCGUAGUCCGGAUUGGAGUCUGCAACUCGACUCCAUGAAGUCGGAAUCGCUAGUAAUCGUGGAUCAGAAUGCCACGGUGAAUACGUUCCCGGGCCUUGUACACACCGCCCGUCACACCAUGGGAGUGGGCUGCAAAAGAAGUAGGUAGUUA